rnacentral:rRNA from 1 species
UCUGGAGGAUAGCCUUUCGAAAGGAAGAUUAAUACUCCAUAAUAUAUUGAUUGGCAUCAAUUGAUAUUGAAAGCUCCGGCGGAUAGAGAUGGGCACGCGCAAGAUUAGUUAGUUGGUGAGGUAACGGCUCACCAAGACGAUGAUCUUUAGGGGCCUGAGAGGGUGAUCCCCCACACUGGUACUGAGACACGGACCAGACUCCUACGGGAGGCAGCAGUGAGGAAUAUUGGUCAAUGGGUGCAAGCCUGAACCAGCCAUCCCGCGUGAAGGACGACUGCCCUAUGGGUUGUAAACUUCUUUUGUAUAGGGAUAAACCUACCCUCGUGAGGGUAGCUGAAGGUACUAUACGAAUAAGCACCGGCUAACUCCGUG